GAGCUAUGAAGAUUCCUUUCUUCCAUCUGAGAUUCUAUUGAAGACAUAAGAUCCAACUCUGAGCUCACUGCGCUA